AUUGAACGCUGGCGGCAGGCCUAACACAUGCAAGUCGAGCGGAUGAAGGGAGCUUGCUCCUGGAUUCAGCGGCGGACGGGUGAGUAAUGCCUAGGAAUCUGCCUGGUAGUGGGGGAUAACGUCCGGAAACGGGCGCUAAUACCGCAUACGUCCUGAGGGAGAAAGUGGGGGAUCUUCGGACCUCACGCUAUCAGAUGAUCCUAGGUCGGAUUAGCUAGUUGGUGGGGUAAAGGCCUACCAAGGCGACGAUCCGUAACUGGUCUGAGAGGAUGAUCAGUCACACUGGAACUGAGACACGGUCCAGACUCCUACGGGAGGCAGCAGUGGGGAAUAUUGGACAAUGGGCGAAAGCCUGAUCCAGCCAUGCCGCGUGUGUGAAGAAGGUCUUCGGAUUGUAAAGCACUUUAAGUUGGGAGGAAGGGCAGAAAGUUAAUACCUUGCUGUUUUGACGUUACCAACAGAAUAAGCACCGGCUAACUUCGUG
rnacentral:rRNA from 1 species